rnacentral:lncRNA from 1 species
CUUCGCCGACCUCAAGCGAACCUCCAAUUGACCCAGGCAACCUCAAUCUGAGUCUCUAGGAGACUGCGGACACUCCAAUCAUUGUCAAUAUGGACCUACACAGGUCCAACGUUUUGAGGUUCAGUUACUAAUGAGUAUGUAUUGUGAUAAACAGGUUGCCGUUCACAUUGCAUCUAAUCCUGUGUUUCAUGAGAAGACCAA